UACGUAGGGGGCUAGCGUUGUCCGGAUUUAUUGGGCGUAAAGAGCGUGUAGGCGGCCAGGUAGGUCUGGUGUGAAAACUCGAGGCUUAACCUCGAGAUGUCAUCGGAAACCAUUUGGCUAGAGUCCGGAAGAGGAGAGUGGAAUUCCUGGUGUAGCGGUGAAAUGCGCAGAUAUCAGGAAGAACACCGAUGGCGAAAGCAGCUCUCUGGGACGGUACUGACGCUGAGACGCGAAAGCGUGGGGAGCGAACAGG
rnacentral:rRNA from 1 species